GCAGGUAAAAGUAAUCAAAAAGAAGUUUUGAAGCCAUCUCACUACAUUCCUUUCCACCAUGGCCAUCAAAUACUGCUACAAUUCCAACUGCUUCCUCCUCAAACUCAUUUUUGCCAGCAUCCUUAGCCAGUAAUGGUACUUUGAUAUCAAGAUUACAAGCUAUAGCAUCCUCUUGGUAGUCCCUGCGUCCCUGAAGGAUGGCAAACUGGCAAUUCAGGUUUUGAUUUUGAAGAGAUCCAGCGGAAGAAAGAACCCACUGUGGACACUCCGGAUAUCCAUAAACGGCCGGAGCGCCACCAUCGUCAUACUCCAUCAUACAUGACACCGAUAACCCAUAUGAAGAUGGGAUCGUAAUCAGUACAACUCCAAAUAAGAGUGACGCUAUCAUCAAGUUUGUGGCAGAAGAUAGAAAAGCGAAACGCUG
rnacentral:misc_RNA from 1 species